rnacentral:rRNA from 1 species
UGUUGCUUGCAAGGGCGCAUGGUGGAUGCCUUGGCAGACAGUACCGACGAAGGACGUUUGAGGCUGCGAUAAGCCUCGGGGAGCCGCCAACAGGGCUUUGAUCCGAGGAUUUCCGAAUGGGGAAACCCGCUGGCCGUCAUGGGCCGGCACCGUUUUCGAACGGGGGGUACGCAGGGAAGUGAAACAUCUCAGUACCUGCAGGAGAAGAUAUUCCGUGAGUAGUGGCGAGCGAAAGCGGAGCAGACUAAACCGGUCGCGUGUGAUAGCCGUCAGGCGUUGCGCGACCGGUGUCGUGGGAGCAUGUGCCCAGCCUCUGACGGGGCUGGCGGGAGUGAUCAAUCAGCGCGUGAGGCGAACCGGAUUGAAUGCCGGGCCGCAGAGGGUGAUGGCCCCGUAGCCGUAUGCGCGCUGACUCCCGAUCGUGUUUCCCAAGUAGCACGGGACUCGUGGAAUCCCGUGUGAAUCCGCCCAGACCGUUGGGUAAGUCUAAAUAUACCUGUCUGACCGAUAGCGAACGAGUACCGUGAGGGAAAGGUGAAAAGUACCCCGGGAGGGGAGUGAAAUAGUUUCUGAAUCCAUGCGCUUACGAACCGUCGGAGCCUUUCGGGGUGACGGCGUGCCUAUCGAAAAAUGAGUCUGCGAGUCAGUGGCAUGUGGCGAGGCUAACCCGGGUGGGGGAGCCGUAGCGAA